rnacentral:rRNA from 1 species
AGAGUUUGAUCCUGGCUCAGAACGAACGCUGCGGCAUGCCUAACACAUGCAAGUCGAACGAAGCCUUCGGGCUUAGUGGCGCACGGGUGCGUAACGCGUGGGAAUCUGCCCUCUGGUUCGGAAUAACUCAGGGAAACUUGAGCUAAUACCGGAUAAUGACUUCGGUCCAAAGAUUUAUCGCCUGAGGAUGAGCCCGCGUCGGAUUAGCUAGUUGGUGAGGUAAAAGCUCACCAAGGCGACGAUCCGUAGCUGGUCUGAGAGGAUGAUCAGCCACACUGGGACUGAGACACGGCCCAGACUCCUACGGGAGGCAGCAGUGGGGAAUAUUGGACAAUGGGCGCAAGCCUGAUCCAGCCAUGCCGCGUGGGUGAUGAAGGCCCUAGGGUUGUAAAGCCCUUUCGGCGGGGAAGAUAAGACGUACCCGCAGAA